UACGGGGGGGGCAAGCGUUGUUCGGAAUUACUGGGCGUAAAGAGCUCGUAGGCGGUCUGUCGCGUCGGAUGUGAAAACCCGAGGCUCAACCUCGGGCCUGCAGUGGGUACGGGCAGACUAGAGUGCGGUAGGGGAGAUUGGAAUUCCUGGUGUAGCGGUGGAAUGCGCAGAUAUCAGGAGGAACACCGAUGGCGAAGGCAGAUCUCUGGGCCGUAACUGACGCUGAGGAGCGAAAGCGUGGGGAGCGAACAGG
rnacentral:rRNA from 1 species